rnacentral:rRNA from 1 species
AUUGAACGCUGGCGGCAGGCCUAAUACAUGCAAGUCGAGCGGAGCGGCGGACGGGUGAGUAAUGCCUAGGAAUCUGCCUGGUAGUGGGGGAUAACGUCCGGAAACGGGCCCUAAUACCGCAUACUAUCAGAUGACCCUCGGUGGGCUUAGCUAGUUGGUGGGGGAAAGGCUUACCAAGGCGACGAUCCGUAACUGGUCUGAGAGGAUGAUCAGUCACACUGGAACGGAGACACGGUCCAGACUCCUACGGGAGGCAGCAGUGGGGAAUAUUGGACAAUGGGCGAAAGCCUGAUGCAGCCAUGCCGCGUGUGUGAAGAAGGUCUUCGGAUUGUAAAGUACUUUCAGCGGGGAGGCGUUACCCGCAGAAGAAGCACCGGCUAACUCCGUGCCAGCAGCCGCGGUAAUAC